rnacentral:tRNA from 1 species
GGUACUGUGGCGCUGGGCCCCCGGCUACCUAGGUCGUGCCCGGUGCGGGCGGUUCGUGCGCACCCCUGAUAAGGGUGAGGUCGCUGGUUCGAUUCCAGCUAGCCCCA